rnacentral:rRNA from 1 species
UACGUAGGUGGCAAGCGUUGUCCGGAAUUAUUGGGCGUAAAGAGCUCGUAGGCGGCUUGUCACGUCGGAUGUGAAAGCCCGGGGCUCAACCCCGGAACGGCAUCCGAUACGGGGCGGCUCGAGACCGAGAGAGGUGAGUGGAAUACCCAGUGUAGAGGUGAAAUUCGUAGAUAUUGGGUGGAACACCGGUGGCGAAAGCGGCUCACUGGCUCGGUUCUGACGCUGAGGCGCGAAAGCGUGGGGAGCAAACAGG